UGCAAGGGCACUCUGUGUUAUCCAUACUCAAUAUGAUAAUUACAAUUUGUUACCUUGCAACAUUAAAUCUACCAAACCCUAUUCCGAAUAGCUUAAACAAGGCUAUUAGGUCAUAGUGGUAGAUACAUUUU